CAAAUCUAUUCAAGCCUUAAGACCAGAAGCAAGUUUAAUAUUCUCUUUGGAUUAACAUCUGGCUGACCCUACAAUUAAAAUGGAACUAGCAAGGUUAUCAAUUUUUUUUACAGCGGCUUGAAGUUUUGACCAACAUGUGCGUGAUAUUAUUGACUAUGCAAUUUACUUAAGUAUCAUUAGUUCCUAGAGCAAUGAUCUCUGGAUGCAUGUAUCAAAGCCUCCAGAGAAGCCUUACAUCAAGCAAAUCUUUGAGGAUUUUUCGGAUGUCUCCAAGGAAAUGGGCAUUUCAGUCACACAAGAUUAAUUUGUCAAAUUCUAGAAAUUUGUGUGCUAUAGUUGUAUCUACGAAUCGCAGACUACAUGCUGAACAAGCUUCAGAUUGAGGAGAGCUUGGUCCCCAAGAUGUGCCUAAAUUUGUACAGGGAAUAAGGAACUACAAUGGCCGGUCUGAAGCUUAUGGGCUACGAUUUCGACUACGCGGAAUUCCACGCUAGCAUGCACGGUAAAUUGCCAUAUGAGAAGUUGAAGCCGGACCCUGUCCUGAGGAACCUACUGCUUUCGAUGCCUCAAAAUCCCUCUGAUGUUUCUUGCUCCAUCGCAUCAGCGAGGGGUCUGUGACAGUUAAAUGCUUUAGUAG